rnacentral:rRNA from 1 species
AUUGAACGCUGGCGGCAGGCUUAACACAUGCAAGUCGAGCGGGGUGAUGGUGCUUGCACUAUCACUUAGCGGCGGACGGGUGAGUAAUGCUUAGGAAUCUGCCUAUUAGUGGGGGACAACAUCUCGAAAGGGAUGCUAAUACCGCAUACGUCCUACGGGAGAAAGCAGGGGAUCACUUGUGACCUCGCGCUAAUAGAUGAACCUAAGUCGGAUUAGCUAGUUGGUGGGGUAAAGGCCUACCAAGGCGUCGAUCUGUAGCGGGUCUGAGAGGAUGAUCCGCCACACUGGGACGGAGACACGGCCCAGACUUCUACGGGAGGCAGCAGUGGGGAAUAUUGGACAAUGGGGGGAACCCUGAUCCAGCCAUGCCGCGUGUGUGAAGAAGGCCUUAUGGUUGUAAAGCACUUUAAGCGAGGAGGAGGCUCUUUUGGUUAAUACCCAAGAUGAGUGGACGUUACUCGCAGAAUAAGCACCGGCUAACUCUGUGCCAGCCGCCGCCGUAA